rnacentral:misc_RNA from 1 species
UCCGGUUUGACACCGGCAGUCCCGGCAGAGUCCCCAGCAUUACCUGAUGGCAACUAAGAGCAGGGGUUGCGCUCGUUGCGGCACUUAAGCCAACACCUCACGGCACGAGCUGACGACAGCCAUGCAGCACCUGUGCAGGCUCCCGAAGGAGCACCGGCUUUCACCGGUUUCACCCUGCAUGUCAAGCCCUGGUAAGGUUCUUCGCGUUGCAUCGAAUUAAAGAACAUGCUCCGCUGCUUGUGCGGGCCCCCGUCAAUUCCUUUGAGUUUCACCGUUGCCGGCGUACUCCCCAGGUGGCGAACUUAACGCUUUCGCUAAGCCGCUGACUCCAAAGAGCCAACAGCGAGUUCGCAUCGUUUACAGCGUGGACUAC